GAGUAAAAUGAUCUGUUCUCACCAAUGUGAAUAGGCAUCAUUCAAUCUUUUGAGAGCCUGAACAGCCUUUUGAGAGCCUGAACAAAAAGCCAGCUUGAGCUGAAUUACACCACUGGCCACCGGCUUUCCUGGUUCUCCAGCUUGCAGGUAAAAAGAGAAGCUUGAAAAUUGAUCUCUGGGGAUGCAGAGGAGACUGUCUUCAGACUUUGUCUGCAACAUCAACAUUUCCUGGUUCUAGAGCAGGCUGCUUUUGAACCCACAUGUAACUCUCUAUUGAGUCUCCAGCUUGUAGGACAACAUCAUUAAAUUUUGGACUUCCCAAGCCUCCACAAUCUCAUUAGAGCAGAAUUUAAUUUUAUAAGUAUAACUCAGUAUAUCAAAUUAUUGUAUAUUGAAAUACAGGAAAAUUUAUAAUUAAAGUUUUAAAAAGUUUUUUCACUAAUCAGUAUAUUGUAAUGUGCAAGAGAAUUUACAAAUGAUUUGCCUCCUAUAUAAAAUUACAGAUUUUUAGCCAAGAUUUUUAAAAACAAUUUUGUCAGUCAAAUUUUAUUAAGUGAAUUAAUCACAUAAGCAAACAUUUCUAACAGUGCAAAAUUACUUCAGGUGGAGCAAAAAGUUGUGUAUAUAGAUUAAUUAAUGCAGUCAAGUAGUUCUUGAACUGUUGCAGUUUAAAAGGCAAUAGUUAAAAUUGCUGCAUUUUCAAAUAAAUAUUAUCUUCUUUGAUGUUGAUAAAAAUGAUUUAUGUUGAUUUAAUUAAUAAUAGAAGGCAAAUUUUAGUUAUUUAUGAUUCCACAAAAUUUUAUGUUAAUGUACGUAUUGGGGUAAUUAUAUAUACAUUUCAUAAACAGUUUAUAAAUAAGUAAAUAUCAAUUUAUAGCUUCAGAUUUGUUUAUUAUAGUUUGAUGUUCACUUGAAAUAGUAAUUAUGUGUUUGUAUUUCCUGAUUUUAUUUUCAAAGUUUGUAAAUAUCAGUAAUACCUGGAUUUAAGAGAAACCCACAGCUUUUUUAUUCCAACUGAAAUUUUAGCAAUGGAAUAAUUUGAAUUCAGACUAGGAAUUGUGGCAGUCUGUUAAAGCUAUAAGAAUUAAAAAAAUAUUUUUUGCUGUUGUUCUAAUUUGUAUAGAUUACAAAUAUACUAGAAAUAAAUGAGUACAUUGACACAUACACAAGCUUUCUAUGUGAUGUUUCAAGGUAGUGCUCCAAAAAUUGCAAUAUAUGUGUCUCUCAUAUAAAAUUAUAUUAGAUAUGAAACAAGUCACUCUAUUGUUGAACUAUAAAUACAUACAUAUAUGUGUAUGUAUAUAUGUGUAUUGAUCUCAUCG
rnacentral:lncRNA from 1 species